GGAUGGUAACCUCAGAAAGCAAGAAUGUGAAGCUCACUGUGAGCAAUGUGCUGAAAGAGAUAAAAAUUCUUAACAUCUUUGGAGUUAUUAAAGGCUUUGUAGAACCAGAUCACUAUGUUGUAGUUGGGGCCCAGAGAGAUGCAUGGGGCCCUGGAGCUGCAAAAUCCGGUGUAGGCACAGCUCUCCUAUUGAAACUUGCCCAGAUGUUCUCAGUUAUGGUCUUAAAAGAUGGGUUUCAGCCCAGCAGAAGCAUUAUCUUUGCCAGUUGGAGUGCUGGAGACUUUGGAUCGGUUGGUGCCACUGAAUGGCUGGAGGGAUACCUUUCGUCCCUGCAUUUAAAGGCUUUCACUUACAUUAAUCUGGAUAAAGCGGUUCUUGGUAAGUAUCCCUUUCAUUAGCUGUUUAUGAAUUCAGGUAAACUUUUUUGAGAUGGAGUUUUGCUCUUGUCGCCCAGGCUGGAGUGCAAUGGCACGAUCUCGGCUCACUGCAACCUCUGUCUCCCAGAUUCAAGCGAUUCUCCUGCCUUAGCCUCCUGAGUAGCUGGGAUUACAGGUGCUCACUACCACACC
rnacentral:sRNA from 1 species